rnacentral:snoRNA from 1 species
GUUUGAGUGAUGACUCAGCAAUUUGUCGGAUACCCCUUCACUCUUCUUAUGAGUGAGAAUAGCAGUCUGACAAAC